rfam:Ignavibacteria bacterium RIFOXYB2_FTLL_36_7 rifoxyb2_full_scaffold_1644, whole genome shotgun sequence.
CGUUAUAGUUUGCACAAGACCCUUUCCGUAAGAUUUGGUUCCAAGAAUUACACCCCUGUCGUGAUCCUGUAUAGCACCUGCAACAAUUUCAGAAGCAGAUGCAGAACCGCCGUUUAUUAGAACAACCA